UACGAAGGGUGCAGGCGUUAUCCGGAUUCACUGGGUUUAAAGGGUGCGUAGGUGGGUUGAUAAGUCAGUGGUGAAAUCUCCAGGCUUAACUUGGAAACUGCCAUUGAUACUAUCAGUCUUGAAUACUGUGGAGAUGAGCGGAAUAUGUCAUGUAGCGGUGAAAUGCUUAGAUAUGACAUAGAACACCUAUUGCGAAGGCAGCUCGUUACACAAAUAUUGACACUGAUGCACGAAAGCGUGGGGAUCAAAC
rnacentral:rRNA from 1 species